rnacentral:piRNA from 1 species
UCCGCAAGUUGCCCUUCCAGCGGCUGAUGC